GAGGGAAUAGUUCAGUGGUAGAGCGCAUGCUUAGCAUGCACAAGGUCCUGGGUUCAAUUCCCAGUACCUCCA
rfam:Camelus ferus unplaced genomic scaffold scaffold1879, whole genome shotgun sequence.